GACAGAGGGGGCAAGCGUUGCUCGGAAUCACUGGGCGUAAAGGGCGCGUAGGCGGCUUGGCAAGUGGAUGGUGAAAUCCCUCGGCUUAACCGAGGAACUGCCGUCCAAACUGCUUUGCUUGAGGCCGGGAGAGGCGAGUGGAAUUCCCAGUGUAGCGGUGAAAUGCGUAGAUAUCGUAAGGAAGACCAGUGGCGAAGGCGGGUCUCUGGACAGUUCCUGACGCUGAGGCACGAAGGCCAGGGGAGCAAACGGG
rnacentral:rRNA from 1 species